CCUACGGGAGGCAGCAGUGGGGAAUAUUGGGCAAUGGGCGCAAGCCUGACCCAGCAACGCCGCGUGAAGGAAGAAGGCUUUCGGGUUGUAAACUUCUUUUCUCAGGGACGAAGAAAGCGACGGUACCUCAGGAAUAAGCCACGGCUAACUACGUACCAGCAGCCGCGGUAAUACGUAGGUGGCAAGAGUUAUCCGGAAUGAUUGGGUGUAAAGGCCGUGUAGGCGGGACAGCAAGUCAGAUGUGAAAACUCAGGGCUCAACCCUGGGCCUGCAUUUGAAACUGUUGUUCUUGAGUGCUGGAGAGGCAAGCGGAAUUCCGAGUGUAGCGGUGAAAUGCGUAGAUAUACGGAGGAACACCAGUGGCGAAGGCGGAUUGCUGGACAGUAACUGACGCUGAGGCGCGAAAGCGUGGGGAGCAAACAGGAUUAGAUACCCUAGUAGUC
rnacentral:rRNA from 1 species